rnacentral:sRNA from 1 species
GUCAACUACCUCGGCCUAAAGGCCGAGGCUUGAAAAAGCCUCUAGUUGACUAGCCUCAGGCCGUCGUUUGGCGGACUACGUUGGUCGGGAACCUAUAGGCACCGCGGGAUGCAGAUCCUAGUCCCGCGCUCUGC